UACGGAGGGUGCGAGCGUUGUCCGGAAUCACUGGGCGUAAAGGGCGCGUAGGCGGCCCGGCAAGUCAACGGUGAAAGCUUGGGGCUCAACCCCGAGUCGGCCGUCGAUACUUCCGGGCUGGAGCACUGUAGAGGCAGGUGGAAUUCCGGGUGUAGCGGUGGAAUGCGCAGAUAUCAGGAAGAACACCCGUGGCGAAGGCGGCUCUCUGGGACGGUACUGACGCUGAGACGCGAAAGCGUGGGGAGCGAACAGG
rnacentral:rRNA from 1 species